UACAGAGACUGCGAGCGUUAUUCGGAUUCACUGGGCGUAAAGGGUGCGCAGGCGGCCAAGUGUGUGAGGCGUGAAAGCCCGGGGCUUAACCCCGGAAUUGCACCUCAAACUACAUGGCUAGAGCAUUGGAGAGGGAAGCGGAAUUCACGGUGUAGCAGUGAAAUGCGCAGAUAUCAGGAAGAACACCCGUGGCGAAGGCGGCUCUCUGGGACGGUACUGACGCUGAGACGCGAAAGCGUGGGGAGCGAACAGG
rnacentral:rRNA from 1 species